AACGAACGCUGGCGGCAUGCCUAACACAUGCAAGUCGAACGAGACCUUCGGGUCUAGUGGCGCACGGGUGCGUAACGCGUGGGAAUCUGCCCUUGGGUACGGAAUAACAGCGAGAAAUUGCUGCUAAUACCGUAUAAUGACGUAAGUCCAAAGAUUUAUCGCCCAGGGAUGAGCCCGCGUAGGAUUAGCUUGUUGGUGAGGUAAAAGCUCACCAAGGCGACGAUCCUUAGCGGUCUGAGAGGAUGAUCAGCCACACUGGGACUGAGACACGGCCCAGACUCCUACGGGAGGCAGCAGUGGGGAAUAUUGGACAAUGGGCGAAAGCCUGAUCCAGCAAUGCCGCGUGAGUGAUGAAGGCCUUAGGGUUGUAAAGCUC
rnacentral:rRNA from 1 species